rnacentral:rRNA from 1 species
CUGGGACAAGCCCUGGAAACGGGGUCUAAUACCGGAUACUGAUCCUCGCAGGCAUCUGUGAGGUUCGAAAGCUCCGGCGGUGCAGGAUGAGCCCGCGGCCUAUCAGCUUGUUGGUGAGGUAAUGGCUCACCAAGGCGACGACGGGUAGCCGGCCUGAGAGGGCGACCGGCCACACUGGGACUGAGACACGGCCCAGACUCCUACGGGAGGCAGCAGUGGGGAAUAUUGCACAAUGGGCGAAAGCCUGAUGCAGCGACGCCGCGUGAGGGAUGACGGCCUUCGGGUUGUAAACCUCUUUCAGCAGGGAAGAAGCGAAAGUGACGGUACCUGCAGAAGAAGCGCCGGCUAACUACGUGCCAGCAGCCGCGGUAAUACGUAGGGCGCGAGCGUUGUCCGGAAUUAUUGGGCGUAAAGAGCUCGUAGGCGGCUUGUCACGUCGGUUGUGAAAGCCCGGGGCUUAACCCCGGGUCUGCAGUCGAUACGGGCAGGCUAGAGUUCGGUAGGGGAGAUCGGAAUUCCUGGUGUAGCGGUGAAAUGCGCAGAUAUCAGGAGGAACACCGGUGGCGAAGGCGGAUCUCUGGGCCGAUACUGACGCUGAGGAGCGAAAGCGUGGGGAGCGAACAGGAUUAGAUACCCUGGUAGUCCACGCCGUAAACGGUGGGCACUAGGUGUGGGCAACAUUCCACGUUGUCCGUGCCGCAGCUAACGCAUUAAGUGCCCCGCCUGGGGAGUACGGCCGCAAGGCUAAAAC